AUUGAACGCUGGCGGCAGGCUUAACACAUGCAAGUUGCGCGAGCGGCGGAUGGGUGAGUAAUGUCUCGGAAACUGCCUGACGGAGGGGGAUAACUACUGGAAACGGUAGCUAAUACCGCAUACCAUCAGAUGUGCCCAGAUGUGAUUAGCUAGUAGGUGGGGUAAUGGCUCACCUAGGCGACGAUCCCUAGCUGGUCUGAGAGGAUGACCAGCCACACUGGGACUGAGACACGGUCCAGACUCCUACGGGAGGCAGCAGGUGGGAAUAUUGCACAAAUGGCGCAAGCCUGAUGCAGCCAGGCCGCGUGUGUGAAGAGGGCCUUCGGGUUGUAAAGCGCGUUCAGCGAGGAGGCGUUACUCGCAGAAGAAGCACCGGCCAACUCCGUGCCAGCAGCCGCGGUAAUUC
rnacentral:rRNA from 1 species